rnacentral:rRNA from 1 species
CGAUGACCCUGGCGGCAUGCCUUACACAUGCAAGUCGAACGGCAGCACGGAGCUCGCUCUGGUGGCGAGUGGCGAACGGGUGAGUAAUAUAUCGGAACGUACCCUAGAGUGGGGGAUAACGUAACGAAAGUUACGCUAAUACCGCAUACGAUCUAAGGAUGAAAGUGGGGGAUCGCAAGACCUCAUGCUCGUGGAGCGGCCGGUAUCUGAUUAGCUAGUUGGUAGGGUAAAAGCCUACCAAGGCAUCGAUCAGUAGCUGGUCUGAGAGGACGACCAGCCACACUGGAACUGAGACACGGUCCAGACUCCUACGGGGGGCAGCAGUGGGGAAUUUUGGACAAUGGGCGAAAGCCUGAUCCAGCAAUGCCGCGUGAGUGAAGAAGGCCUUC